rnacentral:rRNA from 1 species
UGGGGAAUUUUGCACAAUGGGGGAAACCCUGAUGCAGCGACGCCGCGUGAUUUAGAAGGCCUUCGGGUUGUAAAAAUCUUUUCUAUGGGAAGAAAAUGACAGUACCAUAGGAAUAAGGACCGGCUAAUUACGUGCCAGCAGCCGCGGUAAUACGUAAGGUCCGAGCGUUGUCCGGAAUCAUUGGGCGUAAAGGGUACGUAGGCGGGUAAGCAAGUUAGAAGUGAAAUCCUAUAGCUCAACUAUAGUAAGCUUUUAAAACUGCUCAUCUUGAGGUAUGGAAGGGAAAGUGGUAUUCCUAGUGUAGCGGUGAAAUGCGCAGAUAUUAGGAGGAAUACCGGUGGCGAAGGCGACUUUCUGGCCAUAACCUGACGCUGAGGUACGAAAGCGUGGGUAGCAAACAGG